UACGUAGGCAGCGAGCGUUGUUCGGAAUUACUGGGCGUAAAGAGUGUGUAGGCGGUGCUCUAAGUUCGGUGUGAAAUCUCCUGGCUCAACUGGGAGGGUGCGCCGGAAACUGGAGUGCUUGAGCGUGGGAGAGGAAAGCGGAAUUCCUGGCGUAGCGGUGAAAUGCGUAGAUAUCAGGAGGAACACCUGUGGUGUAGACGGCUUUCUGGACCAUAGCUGACGCUGAGACACGAAAGCGUGGGUAGCAAACAGG
rnacentral:rRNA from 1 species